GUAUUUUAUGUGUGUUUGUGAGAUGACUUGUUCUCUUUUCUUUCGUUUUUUCUUUCUAUCUCUCUCUCUCUCAGAUUUCUCCGCCGUCAACCACGUCUUCGUCUUG
rnacentral:ribozyme from 1 species